UGUGCCAGCAGCCGCGGUAAGACGUAGGGCGCGAGCGUUGUCCGGAUUUAUUGGGCGUAAAGAGCUCGUAGGCGGCUUGUUGCGUCGACUGUGAAAUCCUGCGGCUUAACUGUGGGGUUGUGGUUGAUACGGGCAGGCUUGAGUUCGGUAGGGGAGACUGGAAUUCCUGGUGCAGCGGUGAAAUGCGCAGAUAUUAGGAGGAACACCGGUGGCGAAGGCGGGUCUCUGGGCCGAUACUGACGCUGAGGAGCGAAAGCGUGGGGAGCGAACAGGAUUAGAUACCCUGGUAGUCCAUGCUGUAAACGUUGGGCGCUAGGUGUGGGGGCCCUUCCCGGGUUUCUGUGCCGUAGCUAACGCAUUAAGCGCCCCGCCUGGGGAGUACGGCCGCAAGGCUAAAACUCAAAGGAAUUGACGGG
rnacentral:rRNA from 1 species